CUAUGCGCCUUGCCAGCCCGCUCAGUCAGAGUUUGAUCCUGGCUCAGCCUGAACGCUGGCGGCGUGGCUAAGACAUGCAAGUCGCACGGGGUAGCAAUACCCAGUGGCGAACGGGUGAGUAAUGAAUCGCUAAUGUACCCUGGACUCUGGGAUAGCUUCCCGAAAGGGAAGGUAAUACCAGAUGAGACCACGAUCAGGCAUCUGAUUGUGCUCAAAGGUCCGCCGGUCUGGGAGCAGGCGAUUUCGUAUCAGCUUGUUGGUGAGGUAAUGGCUUACCAAGGCGACGACGCGUAGCCGGACUGAGAGGUUGGCCGGCCACAUUGGGACUGAGACACUGCCCAG
rnacentral:rRNA from 1 species